CCUACAGUCACUCAAACCUCAGAACCUAUGGAUUUGGGAUUCACUAGAGGCCCUUUACAACCAGAAGAAAGGAAUCGCAGACGCAUAAACAACCUCUGCAUGUAUUGUGCUUCAAAUGCACAUACUGUAAGAGAGUGUCCUAUCUUACAAAGGCAGAAGAAACUGGGAUCUACACCAGCAAAUCAGUGAAGCCAUCAUCGACUCUGGGGCACAUUCUUCCUAUAUUGAUUCUGUUUUUGUCACUAUAAAUAAAAUACCCACUGUGUUGAAAGCAA